rnacentral:misc_RNA from 1 species
AUAUCAGGAGCUGUUUUCUCAAUUGAAGUCUUUGAAUCUUCUCUUCAUCUUUGGCAGUCGGAUGAAUCUGGUAUUGGGUGUCUUCUCUACUUGAUUGAUGUUAUUGCAAGCCUCCUUAGUGGGAGACUUGUUCGUGAACGAAUUGGUCCAGCCAUGUUAAGUGCUGUACAAAGCCAGAUGGGAGCUGUUGAGACAAGCUUUGAGGAGGUCCAGAACAUCUUUGACACUGGUGGUGCCAAGGGAUUGCCUGGAGCUUCUGUUGAAAAGAUCCCCAAGAUCAAAAUCACAAGCAAUAACAAUGUAGAUGCUUCAGGGGAGAGAGUCGGUUGUUCUGUCUGCCUUCAGGACUUUCAGCUUGGAGAGAUGGUCAGAAGCUUGCCUCAUUGUCAUCACAUGUUUCACCUACCUUGCAUAGAUAUGUGGCUCCUGAGGCAUGCAUCUUGCCCACUGUGUAGAAGGGAUCUGUGAUGUGGUGUUUCCUUUUUUUUUUUUUUUUUUUUAACCAUGUAAAUUACAAAAUGGGAAAUGGUUAUUUUGUCAAUUAUUUUUUUUGGCAUCAAAAAAAAAAAAAAAAAA